rnacentral:rRNA from 1 species
CCUACGGGCGGCAGCAGUAGGGAAUCUUGCACAAUGGAGGAAACCCUGAUGCAGCGACGCCGCGUGAGUGAAGAAGUAUUUCGGUAUGUAAAGCUCUAUCGUCAGGGAAGAAAAUGACGGUACCUGAUUCAGAAGCCCCGGCUAACUACGUGCCAGCAGCCGCGGUAAUACGUAGGGGGCAAGCGUUAUCCGGAUUUACUGGGUGUAAAGGGAGCGUAGACGGCAGCGCAAGUCUGAAGUGAAAUGCCGGGGCUUAACCCCGGAACUGCGUUGGAAACUGGGCAGCUAGAGUGCAGGAGAGGUAAGUGGAAUUCCUAGUGUAGCGGUGAAAUGCGUAGAUAUUAGGAGGAACACCAGUGGCGAAGGCAGUUCACUGGACUGCAACUGACACUGAGGCUCGAAAGUGUGGGUAUCAAACAGGAUUAGAUACCCCUGUAGUC